CACCUUGAUUUCCUGAGCCAGCUGCUGCCCCGUGAGCAGGCGUCUGUCCCACCGGGCCGCGGGGCGCCCCUCGCUCCAGUAGCCCUGGCAGCGGCUCUUGGCGUGCAGGGGGGCCGCGCUCAGCACGUCGGCCACGUAGGCGCGGAGGUGGCCAGCAUCGUCAUCUGUGUCUGAGGAAGAGAGUCCUCAUGCAGAGGCGCCUGAUAUUCCAGGUCUGUAUCCUUCAGCUCCUGGAAGGCCGUGAGGAUCUGGAACCAAGGAGAACAAGGUGGAAGAGGGUCUGUGAAGGCAAAGAGACACUGGGAAGACCCCGGAACACGGCCACCUGUGUGGAGGCAGGGGUGCACACUGAGGGGUCAGCCUGCCGCGCCCCCGAGCAGGAAGGGAUGGCUCCACAUCCAGAGGCCCCUGGUGAGGCUGUUGGCUCCCCACCGGAAGCCCUGCCCGGAGCCCCCUCCCCUCGGCCAGCCGCCCUCGCCGGGCUCCUGUGGGGCAGAGAAGCAGAGCAUCCGUUGGCCCAUCUGGCCCCCUCCCCUCCCCAAGCCAGGCUGGGUCCCUGCCCCAGCCCCCAGCCCCCGUCCCAGCCCCGCCCUCACCAGGCCGGGCAGGCCCUGAAGCAGGUGGUUUAGGAGGAAGGUCUUCCCUGAGUACCGCUCUCCCAGGACAGCAAGGAGGCAGACGGGGGUGUCCCUGGCCAGCGGGUGCUUCAGGCAGCGGUUGAUGGCCCCCAUCCUCAGGAUGAGGCCCCCGGAGGCGUUGACGCGCACCAGCAGCAGCGGCUCGGCCCUCACCGCGCAGGUCUCCUGGGCCCGGAGACAGGGCUCCCUGAGCACCCAGGCUGGGGCGCGUCCACCCGAGCCCCGCCUCCCUCCCGGACACCCCGGUGUGAGGUCAAAGCCCCCGGUGGGGACGAGGCCUGCGCACCUGCAGCGCGGUGGGCAGCGGCCUCCGCGGCAGGAGCCGCAUCCUCUCCCCCAGGCCCCGGAGGCCCUUCUUCUGCUUGCAGGUCUUGCGGCACUCGGGGCAGCAGGGCGGCCCGCAGCCGGGGACACGGUGGGUGCUGAAGCACCGCGGGCAGAAGUCGUGGCCGCAGUCCAGAGAGAUGGGCUCACGCGGCCUCUCCAGGCAGAUGGAGCAGGCGGGCGGCUCCCGGGGCGCCACAGGCCGGGACCCCAGCCCCAGCUCCAACUUGGGGAACGCCUGGCAGCCCCAACCUCGCGCUGCCUCCCCUGGGGCAGGCCUCCAGGCCCCAGUCCCGCCGCCAGGCCCUGCCACUUACCAACUGUUCCUGCUGUUGCCCAUGAAGCUCUGUUUUCUCUCCUUGGGGAGAAAUUGGGGAGAAAAAAAAUCCCAAAAAUGUUAUUUAGAAGGGAAUCCAGACUUCUAUCUUCAUCCUGGAUUCCAGGCGCCCCCAUCCUCCCUCUGCAGACCCCCCAGGUCUCAGGACCAAAGACUCGCCUGUUUGCCAAGCCGGUGACAAAAGGAAAUGACUGACAAGGCAGACCUCGGCAUGGGAGGCUGGCGUGGGGAGAGGGUCCGGGAGAGGGUCCGGGAGCAGGGAGGACACCCAGGAGACCUUUGGCGGCGCUGAGGAUGGCUUUCCUCCCGGAAGGGCUGGCGGAGCUGUGGCCAGUGGAGGCUGGGGGGGGGGUCUCCCCAGAGGACACAAGUCGGCAGGGCUGGAAAAUGGAUGUGACAGUCGGGAGAGAGGAGGCUGCCUCUGGACUCACCCCAGGGGGAGGAGACAGGACUGCGGGAACCAGGGCUCCGGAGGGAGGGACGGAGCCGGGCCCAGAAUCCCUGGCAGAGGCUGGGAUGCAGGCAAGCCGGGGUGAUGACGAAACUGAGGCCAGAGAGGUUAAGUCUCUUUCCAAGGUCACACAGCUGUGAGUGACGGUGCUGGAAUCCCGACCCAGGCCAUCAGUCCCCCCACCCAGCCACCCAGCCACCCCUGUACCCGUCCGUCUUCUCAUCCAUCAGCCUCCAGCGUGUCUGCCCAUCCAGUCACCCGUCCUUACGCUUCUCCGUCCAGAGGACAGGCCUCACCAAGGCGCGCCUGUGCCAGGCCACCUCGUGUGAACAUCAGAGACCCGGUCGGGCCGCGUCGGGGGAAGGAGGAGCGGGUCCCGGAGCCGUGGGAUGACAGAGCUGGAGGGAGGUGCCCUAUUUGGCUGCCAUCUUCUAGCUUCGAAUAAAGACCAAGUUGAAGCCAA